GAUUUGAGAUCACUAUGACUUUUGACUUUUCAGGAUAAGCAUAACAUCCUCAAGCACAAGAUUUUAACAAUUAAGACACCUAAACUCAACUAUGAAUCCUACAUCAUGCUUGACAUGGACAUCAUCAAAAAUGGCAAAUCAGUUUUAAAAAUAAAUAGUCCAACUAAUAUCUUCCUAAUCUAAGUUUGAUGGUAUUCAGGGUAUUCAAAAGACACAGUUAGAAAUGAGACAGGUAAAAUGUUUUUAGAUAUCUGUGAUGAUCUUGAGUUGAUUGUUUUAAAUAGCAGAUUUCCCGGUGACUUCAAAGUGCAUGCAUUUAAUUGAAGACUUUAAGAUGUUUCUUUUUGUGGAUCCUCAAAGAUACUCGCUUUAGUGGCAACUGUAAAAAAAGCUUACCCCGUCUCCGAAUCCAAAUCUUCAGUUACAAGAUUUGAAAGAAAACAACCAUGGUUUGACUGUAAAUUUUCCAUGCGAGAAAUCGGUCUUUUAGACUUUUAAAUUUGUUUCGCCAAACUAAAUCUACCUACAUCCAAUUGGCCUACAAGAACUCCAUUAAUGAGCACAAAAGUAUUUGUGCAGCUAAAACAAGGGAUUUCCUUACUUCUACGGCUAGAAAAUUAAAGCAAAUAAACAAGCUGAAAGAAUUUUGGAAACAAGUGAACCACUUCAAAAAAAAAAAAAAUGGUCUGCAGAUCCAAUAGUUUAAUGGAUCAGUGGGUGUACCACUUUAGUAGCACAGCAACAGCAGUUUAAAGAAUGGCAAAGCUUCUGGUUAUGACAGGGUGUUACCUCCGCUUCUUUCAGCCGGUCAGUUAUUUUUCCUCUCUUCAAGCACGGAGAUAUCAACUUGGUUGCCAACUGGUGUAUCUCUUAUAUAGAUACAAUUGCUAAGGUAUUUUCUGGUCCAUUAUUGCUGCGUCUUGAAACUUAUGUAUCUAAUAAUCAUUUAUUGUCUGAAUUUCAAACAUUUUGACAAUGACAAUCUCUUUGUGCUGAUAAAUAUUAUU